rnacentral:misc_RNA from 1 species
CAGAGUUAUCCAACUCCCAAACCCAUGUGAACUUAUCUCUUUGUUGCCUCAGCGCAAGCUACCCGGGACCUCGCGCCCCGGGCGGCCCGCCGGCGGACAAACCAAAACUCUUGUUAUCUUAGUUGAUUAUCUGAGUGUCUUAUUUAAUAAGUCA